rnacentral:rRNA from 1 species
GACGGAGGAGGCAAGCGUUAUCCGGAAUUAUUGGGCGUAAAGGGUACGUAGGCGGCUGGUCAAGUCUGGGGUCAAAGGCCACAGCUCAACUGUGGGAAGGCCCUGGAAACUGACCGGCUAGAGUGAGGUAGGGGUUGCGGGAAUUCGGUGUAGCGGUGAAAUGCGUAGAGAUCGGGAAGAACACCUGAGGCGGAAGCGCGCAACUGGGCCUCAACUGACGCUGAGGUACGAAAGCUAGGGGAGCGAAGGGG